rnacentral:rRNA from 1 species
UACGGGGGGAGCAAGCGUUUGUUCGGAUUUACUGGGCGUAAAGGGCGCGUAGGCGGCGUGUUAAGUCACUUGUGAAAUCUCUAAGCUUAACUUAGAACGGUCAAGUGAUACUGACGUGCUAGAGUGCAGAAGGGGCAACCGGAAUUCUUGGUGUAGCGGUGAAAUGCGUAGAUAUCAAGAGGAACACCUGAGGUGAAGACGGGUUGCUGGGCUGACACUGACGCUGGAGGCGCGAAAGCUAGGGUAGCAAACGGG